GUACACUCCUGCGGGAGGCAGCAGUGGGGAAUAUUGGACAAUGGGCGCAAGCCUGAUCCAGCCAUGCCGCGUGAGUGAUGAAGGCCCUAGGGUUGUAAAGCUCUUUCACCGGUGAAGAUAAUGACGGUAACCGGAGAAGAAGCCCCGGCUAACUUCGUGACAGCAGCCGCGGUAAUACGAAGGGGGCUAGCGUUGUUCGGAUUUACUGGGCGUAAAGCGCACGUAGGCGGACUAUUAAGUCAGGGGUGAAAUCCCGGGGCUCAACCCCGGAACUGCCUUUGAUACUGGUAGUCUUGAGUUCGAGAGAGGUGAGUGGAAUUCCGAGUGUAGAGGUGAAAUUCGUAGAUAUUCUGAGGAACACCAGUGGCGAAGGCGGCUCACUGGCUCGAUACUGACGCUGAGGUGCGAAAGCGUGGGGAGCAAACAGGAUUAGAUACCCCAGUAGUCCCAUGA
rnacentral:rRNA from 1 species